rnacentral:rRNA from 1 species
CGUAGGGUGCGAGCGUUAAUCGGAAUUACUGGGCGUAAAGCGUGCGCAGGCGGUUUUGUAAGACAGAUGUGAAAUCCCCGGGCUCAACCUAGGACCUGCAUUUGUGACUGCAAGGCUAGAGUACGGUAGAGGGGGAUGGAAUUCCGCGUGUAGCAGUGAAAUGCGUAGAUAUGCGGAGGAACACCGAUGGCGAAGGCAAUCCCCUGGACCUGUACUGACGCUCAUGCACGAAAGCGUGGGGAGCAAACAGGAUUAGAUACCCUGGUAGUCCACGCCCUAAACGAUGUCAACUGGUUGUUGGGUCUUUACUGACUCAGUAACGAAGCUAACGCGUGAAGUUGACCGCCUGGGGAGUACGGCCGCAAGGUUG